GAUGAACGCUGGCGGCGUGCCUAAUACAUGCAAGUCGAGCGAACAGACGAGGAGCUUGCUCCUCUGACGUUAGCGGCGGAAGGGGGAGUAAAACGUGGAUAACCUACCUAUAAGACUGGGAUAAAUUCGGGAAACCGGAGCUAAUACCGGAUAAUAUAUUGAACCGCAUGGUUCAAUAGUGAAAGAGGGUUUUGCUGUCACUCAUAGAUGGAUCCGCGCCGCAUUAGCUAGUUGGUACGGUAACGGCUUACCAAGGCGACGAUGCGUAGCCGACCUGAGAGGGUGAUCGGCCACACUGGAACUGAGACACGGUCCAGACUCCUACGGGAGGCAGCAGUAGGGAAUCUUCCGCAAUGGGCGAAAGCCUGACGGAGCAACGCCGCGUGAGUGAUGAAGGUCUUCGGAUCGUAAAACUCUGUUAUUAGGGAAGAACAAAUGUGUAAGUAACUAUGCACUUCUUGACGGUACCUAAUCAGAAAGCCACGGCUAACUACGUG
rnacentral:rRNA from 1 species